rnacentral:rRNA from 1 species
CUUCAGAUUGUAAGGAAUCGUACCCCAAACCGACACAGGUGGUCGGGUAGAGAAUACCAAGGCGCUUGAGAGAACUCGGGUGAAGGAACUAGGCAAAAUGGUACCGUAACUUCGGGAGAAGGUACGCUCUUGAUGGUGAAGUCCCUUGCGGAUGGAGCUGACGAGAGUCGCAGAUACCAGGUGGCUGCAACUGUUUAUUAAAAACACAGCACUGUGCAAAAUCGUAAGAUGACGUAUACGGUGUGACGCCUGCCCGGUGCCGGAAGGUUAAUUGAUGGGGUUAGCGUAAGCGAAGCUCUUGAUCGAAGCCCCGGUAAACGGCGGCCGUAACUAUAACGGUCCUAAGGUAGCGAAAUUCCUUGUCGGGUAAGUUCCGACCUGCACGAAUGGCGUAAUGAUGGCCACGCUGUCUCCACCCGAGACUCAGUGAAAUUGAAAUCGCUGUGAAGAUGCAGUGUACCCGCGGCUAGACGGAAAGACCCCGUGAACCUUUACUACAGCUUGGCACUGAACAUUGAACCUACAUGUGUAGGAUAGGUGGGAGGCUUUGAAGACGUGACGCCAGUUGCGUUGGAGCCGUCCUUGAAAUACCACCCUUGUAUGUUUGAUGUUCUAACGUUGGCCCCUAAUCGGGGUUGCGGACAGUGCCUGGUGGGUAGUUUGACUGGGGCGGUCUCCUCCCAAAGAGUAACGGAGGAGCACGAAGGUGGGCUAAUCACGGUUGGACAUCGUGAGGUUAGUGCAAUGGCAUAAGCCCGCUUAACUGCGAGAAUGACGGUUCGAGCAGGUGCGAAAGCAGGUCAUAGUGAUCCGGUGGUUCUGAAUGGAAGGGCCAUCGCUCAACGGAUAAAAGGUACUCCGGGGAUAACAGGCUGAUACCGCCCAAGAGUUCAUAUCGACGGCGGUGUUUGGCACCUCGAUGUCGGCUCAUCACAUCCUGGGGCUGAAGUCGGUCCCAAGGGUAUGGCUGUUCGCCAUUUAAAGUGGUACGCGAGCUGGGUUUAGAACGUCGUGAGACAGUUCGGUCCCUAUCUGCCGUGGGCGUUGGAAGAUUGAAGGGGGCUGCUCCUAGUACGAGAGGACCGGAGUGGACGAACCUCUGGUGUUCGGGUUGUGUCGCCAGACGCAUUGCCCGGUAGCUAAGUUCGGAAUCGAUAACCGCUGAAAGCAUCUAAGCGGGAAGCGAGCCCUGAGAUGAGUCUUCCCUGAUACUUUAAGUAUCCUGAAGGGUUGUUCGAGACUAGAACGUUGAUAGGCAGGGUGUGUAAGCGCUGUGAGGCGUUGAGCUAACCUGUACUAAUUGCCCGUGAGGCUUAACCAU